rnacentral:rRNA from 1 species
UACGAAGGGGGCUAGCGUUGUUCGGAAUUACUGGGCGUAAAGCGCGCGCAGGCGGCUAUCCAAGUCAGUGGUGAAAGCCCGGAGCUCAACUCCGGAACUGCCAUUGAAACUGUUUAGCUUGAGGAUGAGAGAGGUGAGUGGAAUUCCCAGUGUAGAGGUGAAAUUCGUAGAUAUUGGGAAGAACACCGGUGGCGAAGGCGGCUCACUGGUUCAUUACUGACGCUCAGGCGCGAUAGCGUGGGGAUCAAACAGG